CUUAAAUCAACUAAGUACGAAAACAAUACAGACUAUACAGAGAAGAUUAGCAUCGUCCCUACGCAAGGACACACAAAUUGAUAAAUUGUUCAAAAAAAAUUU